AGAAUUAGAGGACGGAACGGGCAGCCGUCGCUAUACUUCCAAAAGAAGUAGUUGGAGAUGUGGGAAUGUCACCCCACCUAAUUCU
rnacentral:ncRNA from 1 species